rnacentral:rRNA from 1 species
AUGAGCUUGCCAAUUGAAGAUGGUACUGGCCCUAAGAAAUCACAGUUGUUGAUAUUCAAGCUUUUCAACUCUGUCAGGUUGCCAAUUGCGGAUGGUAUUGGGCCAUUAAAGUGGCAAGAGAAGACCUCCAAGCUUGUCAAGCCUACUAGAUUACCAAAUGUUGAUAGCGCUGACCUAGUGAAGAUGCACUCAUUGAUUGAUAGCCUUCUCAAGCUCUUGAGUUUGCCAACUGAAGAAGAAGAUGUUAGAGAGAAGUCCCAAUCAGAGAUUUCUAAGCUUCGCAAGUUCUGCACGUCUCCAAUCCAUGAUAAAAUUAGCCCUAAAUCGCUAGUCGAGUCCAUGGUUUUCAAUUUCAGUUUCAGAAAAAUUUCAGCACCAACCGAAAUCACUGAAAUUCAGUGA